GCUCUAAUGCAGCCAACGGAGGUCACAAGCCCUCGGAUAAUGCAGAGUGGAGC
rnacentral:ribozyme from 2 species